AGCAGCCGCGGUAAUUCCAGCUCCAAUAGCGUAUAUUAAAGUUGUUGCAGUUAAAAAGCUCGUAGUUGAAUUUCGAGAUCAAAUUGUUGGUCGUGCCUCGGUACGCACUGGCAUUAUUGGUUUCUCCCUUCUGAAGAACCUUGAUGUCAUUAAUUUGGUGUCUUGGGGAAUCAGGACCGUUACUUUGAAAAAUUAGAGUGUUUAAAGCAGGCUCACGCUUGAAUACAUUAGCAUGGAAUAAUGAAAUAGGACGUUUGAUUCUAUUUUGUUGGUUUCUAGGACCGACGUAAUGAUUAAUAGGGAUAGUUGGGGGCAUUAGUAUUCAAUUGUCAGAGGUGAAAUUCUUGGAUUUAUUGAAGACUAACUACUGCGAAAGCAUUUGCCAAGGAUGUUUUCAUUAAUCAAGAACGAAAGUUAGGGGAUCGAAGACGAUCAGAUACCGUCGUAGUCUUAACCAUAAACUAUGCCGACUAGGGAUCGGAUGAUGUUAAUUUUUUAAUGACUCAUUCGGCGCCUUACG
rnacentral:rRNA from 1 species